AACGUAGGACACAAGCGUUAUCCGGAGUUACUGGGCGUAAAGGGCGUGUAGGCGGACCUAUAAGUCUAUUCUGAAAGCUCCUGGCUAAACUGGGAGAGGCGAAUGGAGACUGUAGAUCUAGAGUGAGGAAGAGGAAAGUGGAAUUCCGCGUGUAGUGGUGAAAUGCGUAGAGAUGCGGAGGAACACCAGUGGCGAAGGCGGCUUACUGGUCCAUAACUGACGCUGAGGUGGCGAAAAGCGUGGGGAGCAAACAGGG
rnacentral:rRNA from 1 species